GCCCCUUCUGCGCUCUGUACGAGAACUGGAAUGGGAAAGGGACGUUGCUGGGCAUGCAUGCGUGGUGGUGAUCUCGGGAAGCGUUUGCCCCAACGAGAGAGCUAUUGGAUUUGGCGUUUAAAUACAGUACAACCUCAGGGCCUAAAUGAAGCCUUACCUUUUGGACCAUUUCUGACAUCAAUCUUGUCAUACAUCUGGUAUGGGAGUGUCGCAGAGCCAGUUUCGGAGUAUUCACAACUACAUUGGAGGUUGCCUUCAUUAAGGGAGAUUCAUGUUGAUGUUGUCUUUUAUACCAUUAUUGGUACAUUUGUAUGUUUAGAUUUACAAGUAACUUUUAGGUACAUUAUUGUAAUUACUCAUUUUUUUUAAUACAUACAACAUUUACUAUGCCAAUUUGUGUUUUGGUGCUUUG